UACAGAGGUCUCAAGCGUUGUUCGGAUUCAUUGGGCGUAAAGGGUGCGUAGGCGGCGCGGUAAGUCGGGUGUGAAAUCUCGGAGCUUAACUCCGAAACUGCAUUCGAUACUGCCGUGCUUGAGGACUGGAGAGGAGACUGGAAUUUACGGUGUAGCGGUGAAAUGCGUAGAUAUCGGAAGGAACACCAGUGGCGAAGGCGGCUACCUGGCCUAAUACUGACACUGAGGCACGAAAGCGUGGGGAGCAAACAGG
rnacentral:rRNA from 1 species